UACGUAGGGUGCGAGCGUUGUCCGGAAUUAUUGGGCGUAAAGGGCUCGUAGGCGGUCUGUCGCGUCGGGAGUGAAAACUCAGGGCUUAACCCCGAGCCUGCUUCCGAUACGGGCAGACUAGAGGUAGGCAGGGGAGAGCGGAACUCCUGGUGUAGCGGUGGAAUGCGCAGAUAUCAGGAAGAACACCGGUGGCGAAGGCGGCUCUCUGGGCCUUACCUGACGCUGAGACGCGAAAGCGUGGGGAGCAAACAGG
rnacentral:rRNA from 1 species